rnacentral:tRNA from 1 species
AGGAAUUUAGGUUAAAUAGACCAAGAGCCUUCAAAGCUCUAAGUAGAUACUGCCCCAAUUCUAAUUCCUG